CCUACGGGGGGCUGCAGUGGGGAAUAUUGGACAAUGGGGGGAACCCUGAUCCAGCCAUGCCGCGUGUGUGAAGAAGGCCCUCGGGUUGUAAAGCACUUUCAGUGAGGAAGAACGCCUGGUGGUUAAUACCCAUCAGGAAAGACAUCACUCACAGAAGAAGCACCGGCUAACUCCGUGCCAGCAGCCGCGGUAAUACGGAGGGUGCGAGCGUUAAUCGGAAUUACUGGGCGUAAAGCGCGCGUAGGUGGCUUGAUAAGCCGGUUGUGAAAGCCCCGGGCUCAACCUGGGAACGGCAUCCGGAACUGUCAAGCUAGAGUGCAGGAGAGGAAGGUAGAAUUCCCGGUGUAGCGGUGAAAUGCGUAGAGAUCGGGAGGAAUACCAGUGGCGAAGGCGGCCUUCUGGACUGACACUGACACUGAGGUGCGAAAGCGUGGGUAGCAAACAGGAUUAGAUACACUAGUAGUC
rnacentral:rRNA from 1 species